rnacentral:rRNA from 1 species
GAUGAACGCUGGCGGCAUGCCUUACACAUGCAAGUCGAACGGCAGCACGGGAGCAAUCCUGGUGGCGAGUGGCGAACGGGUGAGUAAAGUAUCGGAACGUGCCCAGUCGUGGGGGAUAACGUAGCGAAAGUUACGCUAAUACCGCAUACGAUCUAUGGAUGAAAGCGGGGGAUCGCAAGACCUCGCGCGAUUGGAGCGGCCGAUAUCAGAUUAGGUAGUUGGUGGGGUAAAGGCUCACCAAGCCGACGAUCUGUAGCUGGUCUGAGAGGACGACCAGCCACACUGGGACUGAGACCCGGCCCAGACUCCUACGGGAGGCAGCAGUGGGGAAUUUUGGACAAUGGGCGAAAGCCUGAUCCAGCCAUGCCGCGUGCAGGAUGAAGGCCUUCGGGUUGUAAACUGCUUUUGUACGGAACGAAAAGGUUUGGGCUAAUAAGCUGAGCUCAUGACGGUACCGUAAGAAUAAGCACCGGCUAACUACGUGCCAGCAGCCGCCGUAA